AAUAGAUACCCAGGUAGUCCACGCCGUAAACUAUGAGAGCGUAGCCGUUGGGGGGGUUUACCCUUCAGUAGGCGCAGCUAACGCAAUUAAGACUCUCCGCCUGGGGGAGUACGGUCGCAAGAUUAAACUACAAAGGAAAUUGUACGGGGGGCCCGGGCCACAAGACGGGUGGGAGGCAUGUUGGGUUUUUAAAUUUCGAAGCAACGACGAAGAACCUUAACCUAGCCCGUUGACAUGGCAGGGACGAAUUUUCCCGGAGACGGAUCUCUUUCGACGUUCGGUGACCCUGACAACACAAGGUGCGUGCAUGGCUGGUCGUCAGCUCGUGUCGUGAGAUGUUGGGUUAAGUCCCGGUACAACGAGCGCAACCCUCGACCCUUUUAGUUCGCCUACCAUUUUAGGUUGGGGCCACUUCGUAGGAAGGGACUGGCCGGUGAUAACGGCCGGAGGAAAGGGUGGGGAUGGACGUCGAAGUCUUACAUGGCCCUUACGGGGCCUGGGGCUACGACACGUGCUACAAUGGCGGGUGACAGGAGGGGUCAGGACUACGGACCGGCGGAGGGUCAUGCCUAAA
rnacentral:rRNA from 1 species